UGAGCCCCGGCGCUGCGAGGCCGCCCGGGAGGGGCCCGAAGCCGUCCUCCGGUUCCGCUGGGCGCCGGAGCCGAUCUGCAAGGGCCAAUCUGCGCGCUCUCCUCCCACCGCGGACUCCCGGCGACUGCAAACCCCGGGUUCGGGGCCGCUCCGGGCAUCCCCUCUCCGCAGGGACCGAUCUAGAGAUUCUAGUUUAAACAUUUGUGAGGAAACCAACUCGUUCCUCCUUUAUUUACAUAAAUGUUUUCCACUUUGGCUGUUCUUGUGAAUCACCUGGGGGGCUUGAAAAAUCCCGAGAGCACGGGAGUCCUGGAACUUCCCUCCCCCUUCGCUGAUCAAAGCAAGUCACAGAGCCACAUGGAACUUCAGCGUGCCCAGGAGGAGCAGAAAUCUUUGGUGGCCAACGCAAACUUCACAGCCUUCAAGGUGCCUGGGACGCUCCGUCGGUUAAGCUUCUGCCUUCAGCCCAGAGAGAGCACAAGCAGGGGGAGCAGCAGACUGAAGGAGAAGGAGAAGCAGGCUCUCCAUUGAGCAAGAAGCCCAAUGUGGGAUUUGAUCCCAGGACCCUGAGAUCCCAGGACCUGAGCCCACAGCAGAUGCUUAACUGACUGAGCCACCCAGGCAUCCCUGAAGAGGUUUUAUGAAGCAAUCUCUCUCCCAUCUCUCUGAUUCCCUCAAUGGGCAAGAUUCUGAAGGUCCCACAUUCUUCAGUCUGAGCUGAGACCCUCUCCUGAAAAUAUUAGGACAAGGCAAAGGAGAAAGAAGAUGGGUUCUCCAGUCCUUCCUGUGAAGGUCAGGGAAGCCCACUUAUUAAGGCAAUAACCCGAGGUACCUGUGACAUGCUAAGCACUCUUUAAGGUGUUGGUUAAUGUGGUGAACAAAUUAUAUUCCUUGACUU